GAUGAACGCUGGCGGCGUGCCUAAUACAUGCAAGUCGAGCGAACGGACGAGAAGCUUGCUCCUCUGAUGUUAGCGGCGGACGGGUGAGUAACACGUGGAUAACCUACCUAUAAGACUGGGAUAACUUCGGGAAACCGUAGCUAAUACCGGAUAAUAUUUUGAACCGCAUGGUUCAAAAGUGAAAGACGGUUUUGCUGUCACUUAUAGAUGGAUCCGCGCUGCAUUAGCUAGUUGGUAAGGUAACGGCUUACCAAGGCAACGAUGCAUAGCCGACCUGAGAGGGUGAUCGGCCACACUGGAACUGAGACACGGUCCAGACUCCUACGGGAGGCAGCAGUAGGGAAUCUUCCGCAAUGGGCGAAAGCCUGACGGAGCAACGCCGCGUGAGUGAAGAAGGUCUUCGGAUCGUAAAACUCUGUUAUUAGGGAAGAACAUAUGUGUAAGUAACUAUGCACGUCUUGACGGUACCUAAUCAGAAAGCCACGGCUAACUACGUG
rnacentral:rRNA from 1 species